rnacentral:rRNA from 1 species
UACGAAGGGGGGCUAGCGUUGCUCGGAAUGACUGGGCGUAAAGGGCGCGUAGGCGGCUUGUAUAGUCGGAUGUGAAAUUCCUGGGCUUAACCUGGGGGCUGCAUACGAGACGUAUGGGCUUGAGUGCGGAAGAGGGUCGUGGAAUUCCCGGUGUAGCGGUGAAAUGCGUAGAUAUCGCUUGGAACGCCGAAGGUGAAAACAGGCUGCUGGGGUUGUGCCGACGCUGAGACACGAAAGCCAGGGGGAGCAAACGGG